GAUGAAGAACGUAGCGAAAUGCGAUAAGUAAUGUGAAUUGCAGAAUUCAGUGAAUCAUCGAAUCUUUGAACGCACAUUGCGCCCCUUGGUAUUCCGAGGGGCAUGCCUGUUCGAGCGUCAUUUCAACCCUCAAGCACAGCUUGGUCUUGGGCUUCGCCGCUAACCCGGCGGGUCUUAAAAUCAGUGGCGGUGCCGUCGGGCCCUGAGCGCAGUAAUCUCUCUCGCUAUAGGGUCCCGGCGGAUGCUGGCCAGUAACCCCCAAUUUUCUAUGGUUGACCUCGGAUCAGGUAGGGAUACCCGCUGAACUUAAGCAUAUCAAAGGCGGAGGA
rnacentral:misc_RNA from 1 species